rnacentral:rRNA from 1 species
CCUACGGGAGGCAGCAGUGGGGAAUUUUGCGCAAUGGGCGAAAGCCUGACGCAGCGACGCCGCGUGGAGGAUGAAGGCCUUCGGGUCGUAAACUCCUGUCUUGCGGGAAGAAAGGCAAGGGUGCUAAUACCACCUUUGUUUGACGGUACCGCAGGAGGAAGCACCGGCUAACUCCGUGCCAGCAGCCGCGGUAUACGGAGGGUGCAAGCGUUGCUCGGAAUCACUGGGUGUAAAGCGCGAGUAGGCGGUUAAUUAAGGCAGAGGUAAAAGCCCACGGCUCAACCGGGGAAGUGCAUCUGAAACUGGUUAGCUAGAGUGUGAGAGAGGGAUGCGGAAUUCCCGGUGUAGCGGUAAAAUGCGUAGAUAUCGGGAGGAACACCAGUGGCGAGGGCGGCUUCCUGGCUCAAAACUGACGCUGAGUCGCGAAAGCGUGGGGAUCAAACAGGAUUAGAUACCCCUGUAGU